CAGUCGCCACGGUAAUACGAAGGGUGCAAGCGUUAAUCGGAAUUACUGGGCGUAAGGCGCACGCAGGCGGUUUGUUAAGUCAGAUGUGAAAUCCCCGAGCUUAACUUGGGAACUGCAUUUGAAACUGGCAAGCUAGAGUCUUGUAGAGGGGGGUAGAAUUCCAGGUGUAGCGGUGAAAUGCGUAGAGAUCGGGAGGAACAUCAGUGGCGAAGGCGGCCAUCUGGGACAACACUGACGCUGAGGCACGAAAGCGUGGGGAGCAAACAGGAUUAGAUACCCGCGUAGUCCCUGUCUCUUAUAC
rnacentral:rRNA from 1 species